GACGAACGCUGGCGGCGUGCUUAACACAUGCAAGUCGAACGGAAAGGCCCUGCUUUUGUGGGGUGCUCGAGUGGCGAACGGGUGAGUAACACGUGAGUAACCUGCCCUUGACUUUGGGAUAACUUCAGGAAACUGGGGCUAAUACCGGAUAGGAUCUCCUGCUGCAUGGUGGGGGUUGGAAAGUUUCGGCGGUUGGGGAUGGACUCGCGGCUUAUCAGCUUGUUGGUGGGGUAGUGGCUUACCAAGGCUUUGACGGGUAGCCGGCCUGAGAGGGUGACCGGCCACAUUGGGACUGAGAUACGGCCCAGACUCCUACGGGAGGCAGCAGUGGGGAAUAUUGCACAAUGGGCGGAAGCCUGAUGCAGCAACGCCGCGUGCGGGAUGACGGCCUUCGGGUUGUAAACCGCUUUAGCCUGUGACGAAGCGUGAGUGACGGUAAUGGGUAAAGAAGCACCGGCUAACUACGUG
rnacentral:rRNA from 1 species